GGAGACGUGGCUGAGUGGUCGAAAGCACCGGUUUGCUAAAUCGGCGUAGGGUAACCUACCGCAGGUUCGAAUCCUGUCGUCUCCGC
rnacentral:tRNA from 1 species